CCCGCGUCUCAUUAGCUAGUUGGUAGGGUAAUGGCCUACCAAGGCAACGAUGAGUAGCUGGUCUGAGAGGAUGAUCAGCCACACUGGAACUGAAACACGGUCCAGACUCCUACGGGAGGCAGCAGUGGGGAAUAUUGCGCAAUGGGCGAAAGCCUGACGCAGCAACGCCGUGUGAGGGAUGAAGGCUUUCGGGUCGUAAACCUCUGUCGGAAGGGAAGAACGGGCAUUGGUCUAAUAGGCCUUUGUUUUGACGGUACCUUUAGAGGAAGCACCGGCUAACUCCGUGCCAGCAGCCGCGGUAAUACGGAGGGUGCAAGCGUUAUUCGGAAUUACUGGGCGUAAAGCGCACGUAGGCGGCCUUGUAAGUCAGGGGUGAAAUCCCACGGCUCAACCGUGGAACUGCCUUUGAAACUGCAGGGCUUGAAUCCUGGAGAGGGUGGCGGAAUUCCUGGUGUAGGAGUGAAAUUCGUAGAUAUCAGGAGGAACACCGGUGGCGAAGGCGGCCACCUGGACAGGUAUUGACGCUGAGGUGCGAAAGUGUGGGGAGCAAACAGGAUUAGAUACCCUGGUAGUCCACACCGUAAACGAUGGAUACUAGGUGUCGGGGACUUGAUCUUCGGUGCCGUAGCUAACGCGUUAAGUAUCCCGCCUGGGGAGUACGGUCGCAAGGCUGAACUCAAGAAAUUGACGGGGGCCCGCACAAGCGGUGGAGUAUGUGGUUUAAUUCGAUGCAACGCGGAGACCUUACCUAGGCUUGACAUCCUGGGAAUCCUGCAGAGAUGCGGGAGUUCCCUUCGGGGUAUC
rnacentral:rRNA from 1 species